rnacentral:lncRNA from 1 species
GGAUUCUGGCCACUGAUUGAAAUGCACACUUCUUCCAGGAACAGGUAGAAGGCAGAGUUGGAUCUAUAGCCUUUUCCAAGGGAUCUUCACUCAUUCAUCCUCAAAUAUCCUGAGCUUUCUUCUUCAUCAUCAUCUUGUUCCAGUUCUACCCAGAGUCACUGCCCAAUAGAAUUUUGGCCAACAUUAAAGUACUGGGCAAUGAUCCUGAACAGAGUAAUUGUGGAAGUUGCUGAAAUGCCAGUUGCAUGUUGGGGAUACCC